GGUAACAUUUCUAGCUUGCUAGAAGAUGACGAGUGGCGGACGGGUGAGUAAUGCUUGGGAACUUGCCUUUGCGAGGGGGAUAACAGUUGGAAACGACUGCUAAUACCGCAUAAUGUCUUCGGACCAAACGGGGCUUAGGCUCCGGCGCAAAGAGAGGCCCAAGUGAGAUUAGCUAGUUGGUAAGGUAACGGCUUACCAAGGCGACGAUCUCUAGCUGUUCUGAGAGGAAGAUCAGCCACACUGGGACUGAGACACGGCCCAGACUCCUACGGGAGGCAGCAGUGGGGAAUAUUGCACAAUGGGGGAAACCCUGAUGCAGCCAUGCCGCGUGUGUGAAGAAGGCCUUCGGGUUGUAAAGCACUUUCAGUUGUGAGGAAAAGUUAGUAGUUAAUACCUGCUAGCCGUGACGUUAACAACAGAAGAAGCACCGGCUAACUCCGUGCCAGCAGCCGCGGUAAUACGGAGGGUGCGAGCGUUAAUCGGAAUUACUGGGCGUAAAGCGCACGCAGGCGGUUUGUUAAGCUAGAUGUGAAAGCCCCGGGCUCAACCUGGGAUGGUCAUUUAGAACUGGCAGACUAGAGUCUUGGAGAGGGGAGUGGAAUUCCAGGUGUAGCGGUGAAAUGCGUAGAUAUCUGGAGGAACAUCAGUGGCGAAGGCGACUCCCUGGCCAAAGACUGACGCUCAUGUGCGAAAGUGUGGGUAGCGAACAGGAUUAGAUACCCUGGUAGUCCACACCGUAAACGCUGUCUACUAGCUGUGUGUGUCUUUAAGACGUGCGUAGCGAAGCUAACGCGCUAAGUAGACCGCCUGGGGGAGUACGGCCGCAAGGUUAAAACUCAAAUGAAUUGACGGGGGCCCGCACAAGCGGUGGAGCAUGUGGUUUAAUUCGAUGCAACGCGAAGAACCUUACCUACACUUGACAUGCUGAGAAGUUACUA
rnacentral:rRNA from 1 species